GGGGGCGUGAUUUACAAGCUGAGUCCAUCCCAUUUUGCCGAUUAACCCUUGCCUGGCUUGAACGCUUAUGAAUUUAGUACUUUAGUUGCUAUUCAUUUGUAUCACAUCGAACAAUGGAAAACUCAAAUGCAGGGUCUGCAGUCACGUGUGUUUGUUCAUCAGUGUUCAGCUGUCUGUCUGCUGUCUGGAGGAUGAUGACUUCUGUUUGUUCCUCUGAGGAAAUGGAUCUUCAGUCUCUGGAUGUUCCUCUCUCUGUAGAGGAGACCCGACCAGAACCGACCCAGAGUUCAGUGCGGCCAUGUUCAUUCACAGAGGAUGAGUGUGAGCGAUGAUGAUGAAGAGCAGCGGGUUUAAAAGUCGAGACACAGAAGAAUGAACUAGG